rnacentral:tRNA from 1 species
CCUGGUGGCUCAGAUGGUAAAGAAUCUGCCUGCAAUGCAGGAGAUCCAGGUUUGAUCCCUGGGUCAGGA